GUCCAAAAGGUGAAUAGUUGUCAUAAGCUUCAACCAAUGGAAGUGUGACACUUGUCACUCCAUUAAAUGCAUUUCUAUCCUUUUGUUUCCUCUCACAUCAAUCACAUCUCAUCCUCUACUUAUCUCUUAACAUCCGAUAAAUUUCCACCAGUAUCCGGAAUUUAACCUAAUUGGUCAAAUUUUUCCGAACUUUUCGCACUCGUGGGUCCCAAGUUCAAAAUACGUUUUUAAUUACUCAAAAACUAACCGAUACUAGAAAAAUCAUUUUAAAACUAUCUUUGCUCAUAACUUUAUCUGGGGAAUUUUUCUAAUCAAGAAAAUGU
rnacentral:lncRNA from 1 species